AAUGCACCAAUUUGUAAGUCGCUCUGGAUAAGAGCAUCUGCUAAAUGAAUUAAA
rfam:Salmo salar isolate Sally breed double haploid chromosome ssa13, whole genome shotgun sequence.